UACGUAGGUGGCAAGCGUUGUCCGGAAUUACUGGGCGUAAAGAGCGCGCAGGCGGCUGGUCAAGUCCGAUGUGAAAGCUCCCGGCUUAACUGGGAAAUUGCAUCGGAAACUGAUCGGCUUGAAGGUGGGAGAGGGUAGUGGAAUUCCCGGUGUAGCGGUGAAAUGCGUAGAUAUCUGGAGGAACACCGGUGGCGAAGGCGACAUCCUGGACCGGUAUUGACGCUGAGGCGCGAAAGCCAGGGGAGCAAACGGG
rnacentral:rRNA from 1 species